rnacentral:rRNA from 1 species
AUGUGGCCAUGGUGUUCGGCAUACGGUCUGGCAACAGAGAUGUGCUCGGUCCGGAUGGUAACAUCAAUGAUGCGGCAAGCGCGGCGGUCCUUUCUAUGUGAAGAGAAUGCACAAGCAACCCGCCAUGUCACCACUGCACGCCAUAACAUACACACCGACAUGAUCAACUUCACAGACAAGCUGAUGGCAACACUUUGCAAGUUUGCAUCCAAUUGCACAUGCUGUGUUGCGAGGGGUUACUCUGAUUGUCCCCUGAAAAUGAUAGAUGACAACGCAACAUCUACCGAACCUCAGGAGCUAGAGGACCCAGCUAAUCUACCCAGUUCUACUCUACAAGCCAUUGUACCGAACCCCAGUUUCCAGCAAAAUCCAUGGCGUGAGGCUUGA